CUCUUUCGAUCUCUAAUUCCUAUGAGCCACAAAUUUUUGCCAGCAUGGCUGUGAAAUGGGCAUUAAAUUCUGUUCUAAGUAGUCUUAAGAAGUCUUAAAUUUAACUUGUAGAAACCUGUAGGAACCCUGUUUAUUACCUUGUACAUGUCCUU